rnacentral:misc_RNA from 1 species
GAUGAAGAACGUAGCGAAAUGCGAUACGUAAUGUGAAUUGCAGAUUUCAGUGAAUCAUCGAAUCUUUGAACGCACAUUGCGCCCGCUAGUAUUCUGGCGGGCAUGCCUGUUCGAGCGUCAUUUCAACCAUCAAGCUCCUUAGCUUGUGUUGGGGACCUGCGGCUGCCGCAGCCCCCGAAAUGCAGUGGCGGGCUCGUUGUCACACCGAGUGCAGUAAUCAUUCUUCUCUCCGGGCGUGGCGGCGGGUUCCGGCCGUAAAAUCACCAAUUUAUCAAGGUUGACCUCGGAUCAGGUAGGAAUACCCGCUGAACUUAAGCAUAUCAAUAAGCGGAGGA